rnacentral:rRNA from 1 species
CAGCGCCACAAGUGGCGAUCAUGAUUAUUGGGCCUAAAGCGUUCGUAGCCGGUUUGAUAAAUUUUUUGUGAAACUGUCUGGCUCAACCAGACAUCGUGCAAGAAAGACUGUCAAACUUGAGACCGGGAGGAGCUAGGAGUAUUCAUGGGGGAGCGGUAAAAUGUUAUAAUCCCUUGAAGACUACCUGUGGUGAAGGCGCCUAGCUAGAACGGAUCUGACGGUGAGGGACGAAAGCCAGGGGAGCGAUCCGGAUUAGAUACCCGAGUAGUCC